UACGAAGGGGGCUAGCGUUGCUCGGAAUCACUGGGCGUAAAGGGUGCGUAGGCGGGUCUUUAGGUCGGGGGUGAAAUCCUGGAGCUCAACUCCAGAACUGCCUUUGAUACUGAGGAUCUUGAGUUCGGGAGAGGUGAGUGGAACUGCGAGUGUAGAGGUGAAAUUCGUAGAUAUUCGCAAGAACACCAGUGGCGAAGGCGGCUCACUGGCCCGAUACUGACGCUGAGGCACGAAAGCGUGGGGAGCAAACAGG
rnacentral:rRNA from 1 species